rnacentral:rRNA from 1 species
GACGAACUCUGGCGGCGUGCUUAACACAUGCAAGUCGAACAGAAAGGCCCUGCUUUUGUGGGGUGCUCGAGUGGCGAACGGGUGAGUAACACGUGAGUAACCUGCCCUUGACUUUGGGAUAACUUCAGGAAACUGGGGCUAAUACCGGAUAGGAGCUCCUGCUGCAUGGUGGGGGUUGGAGAGUUUCGGCGGUUGGGGAUGGACUCGCGGCUUAUCAGCUUGUUGGUGGGGUAGUGGCUUACCAAGGCUUUGACGGGUAGCCGGCCUGAGAGGGUGACCGGCCACAUUGGGACUGAGAUACGGCCCAGACUCCUACGGGAGGCAGCAGUGGGGAAUAUUGCACAAUGGGCGGAAGCCUGAUGCAGCAACGCCGCGUGCGGGAUGACGGCCUUCGGGUUGUAAACCGCUUUCGCCUGUGACGAAGCGUGAGUGACGGUAAUGGGUAAAGAAGCACCGGCUAACUACGUGCCAGCAGCCGCGGUGAUACGUAGGGUGCGAGCGUUGUCCGGAUUUAUUGGGCGUAAAGGGCUCGUAGGUGGUUGAUCGCGUCGGAAGUGUAAUCUUGGGGCUUAACCCUGAGCGUGCUUUCGAUACGGGUUGACUUGAGGAAGGUAGGGGAGAAUGGAAUUCCUGGUGGAGCGGUGGAAUGCGCAGAUAUCAGGAGGAACACCAGUGGCGAAGGCGGUUCUCUGGGCCUUUCCUGACGCUGAGGAGCGAAAGCGUGGGGAGCGAACAGGCUUAGAUACCCUGGUAGUCCACGCUGUAAACGGUGGGUACUAGGUGUGGGGUCCAUUCCACGGGUUCCGUGCCGUAGCUAACGCUUUAAGUACCCCGCCUGGGGAGUACGGCCGCAAGGCUAAAACUCAAAGGAAUUGACGGGGCCCCGCACAAGCGGCGGAGCAUGCGGAUUAAUUCGAUGCAACGCGUAGAACCUUACCUGGGUUUGACAUGGAUCGGGAGUGCUCAGAGAUGGGUGUGCCUCUUUUGGGGUCGGUUCACAGGUGGUGCAUGGCUGUCGUCAGCUCGUGUCGUGAGAUGUUGGGUUAAGUCCCGCAACGAGCGCAACCCUUGUUCACUGUUGCCAGCACGUUAUGGUGGGGACUCAGUGGAGACCGCCGGGGUCAACUCGGAGGAAGGUGGGGAUGACGUCAAGUCAUCAUGCCCCUUAUGUCCAGGGCUUCACGCAUGCUACAAUGGCUGGUACAGAGAGUGGCGAGCCUGUGAGGGUGAGCGAAUCUCGGAAAGUCGGUCUCAGUUCGGAUUGGGGUCUGCAACUCGACCUCAUGAAGUCGGAGUCGCUAGUAAUCGCAGAUCAGCAACGCUGCGGUGAAUACGUUCCCGGGGCU